rnacentral:rRNA from 1 species
CCUACGGGGGACAGCAGUAGGGAAUUUUGCGCAAUGGGCGAAAGCCUGACGCAGCAACACCGCGUGAAUGUUAAGCCCUUCGGGGUGUAAAGUUCUGUCAAUAGGGACGAAUUUUGACUGUCACUAUAAAGGAAGCACCGGCUAACUCCGUUCCAGCAGCCGCGGUCAUACGGGGGGUGCAAGCGUUGUCCGGAAUCAUUGGGCGUAAUGCGGUCGGAGGCGGCAAGGUAAGUCUGAUGUUAAAGCCCGGGGCUCAACUCCGGUUCGGCAUUGGAUACUAUCGAGCUUGAAUGUGGUAGAGGUAAAUGGAAUUCCUGGUGUAGCGGUGAAAUGCGUAGAUAUCAGGAGGAACAUCGGUGGCGAAAGCGCUUUACUGGACCAUUAUUGACGCUGAGGAACGAAAGCCAGGGGAGCAAAUGGGAUUAGAUACCCGGGUAGUC